rnacentral:rRNA from 1 species
CUUCUCCUUCGGGAGCAGAGUGACAGGUGGUGCAUGGUUGUCGUCAGCUCGUGUCGUGAGAUGUUGGGUUAAGUCCCGCAACGAGCGCAACCCUUGAUCUUAGUUGCCAUCAUUAAGUUGGGCACUCUAAGGUGACUGCCGGUGACAAACCGGAGGAAGGUGGGGAUGACGUCAAAUCAUCAUGCCCCUUAUGACCUGGGCUACACACGUGCUACAAUGGACGGUACAAAGAGCUGCAAGACCGCGAGGUGGAGCUAAUCUCAUAAAACCGUUCUCAGUUCGGAUUGUAGGCUGCAACUCGCCUACAUGAAGCUGGAAUCGCUAGUAAUCGCGGAUCAGCAUGCCGCGGUGAAUACGUUCCCGGGCCUUGUACACACCGCCCGUCACACCACGAGAGUUUGUAACACCCGAAGUCGGUGGGGUAACCUUUUUGGAGCCAGCCGCCUAAGGUGGGACAGAUGAUUGGGGUGAAGUCGUAACAAGGUAGCCGUAUCGGAAGGUGCGGCUG